AACGGCACCCCUGGAUUCAUCCACCUCCCUGGAUGGAUCCCCCGGGAAUCGGUCACUCCCCAGACCGUUUUCCGAUCCCCGCCCCGAGGGCUCCCCCUGGCCCUCGGGGCUUUUUA
rnacentral:sRNA from 1 species